CAUGUCUCAGUACAUACUAAAUUAAGGUGAAACCGCGAAAGGCUCAUUAAAUCAGUUAUGGUUCCUUAGAUCGUACUACAUCCAUACUUGGAUAACUGUGGUAAUUCUAGAGCUAAUACAUGCAAACAGAGUUCCAACCGGAGACGGGAGGAGCGCUUUUAUUAGAUCAAAACCAAUCGGUGGCUUGGUGUCCUUUAACCGGGUCCCAGUCAUCGUACAUUUUGAUGAAACUGAAUAACUUUAUGCUGAUCGCACGGUCUUGCACCGGCGACAUAUCUUUCAAAUGUCUGACUUAUCAACUGUCGAUGGUAGGUUCUGCGCCUACCAUGGUUGUAACGGGUAACGGGGAAUCAGGGUUCGAUUCCGGAGAGGGAGCCUGAGAAACGGCUACCACAUCCAAGGAAGGCAGCAGGCGCGCAAAUUACCCACUCCCGGCACGGGGAGGUAGUGACGAAAAAUAACGAUACGGGACUCAUCCGAGGCCCCGUAAUCGGAAUGAGUACACUUUAAAUCCUUUAACGAGGAUCAAUUGGAGGGCAAGUCUGGUGCCAGCAGCCGCGGUAAUUCCAGCUCCAAUAGCGUAUAUUAAAGUUGUUGCGGUUAAAAAGCUCGUAGUCGAAUCUGUGUCGUGCGUCGCCGGUUCAUCGCUCGCGGUGUUAACUGGCGUGUCGCAGGACGUCCUGCCGGUGGAUUUAGCUUUAGUUAUAUUUACUAUCCCCCUCAAAAGGAUGUAGAUUUUCUAAGGCGGUCCAAAUUAACAAAUCCUAUCGCGGUGCUCUUCAUUGAGUGUCGAGGUGGGCCGGCACGUUUACUUUGAACAAAUUAGAGUGCUUAAAGCAGGCUAAAAUUUUGCCUGAAUAUUGUGUGCAUGGAAUAAUGGAAUAGGACCUCGGUUCUAUUUUGUUGGUUUUCGGAACCCCGAGGUAAUGAUUAAUAGGAACGGAUGGGGGCAUUCGUAUUGCGACGUUAGAGGUGAAAUUCUUGGAUCGUCGCAAGACGAACUUAAGCGAAAGCAUUUGCCAAAAACGCUUUCAUUGAUCAAGAACGAAAGUUAGAGGUUCGAAGGCGAUCAGAUACCGCCCUAGUUCUAACCAUAAACGAUGCCAGCUAGCGAUCCGCCGACGUUCCUCCGAUGACUCGGCGGGCAGCUUCCGGGAAACCAAAGCUUUUGGGUCCGGGGGAAGUAUGGUUGCAAAGCUGAAACUUAAAGGAAUUGACGGAAGGGCACCACCAGGAGUGGAGCCUGCGGCUUAAUUUGACUCAACACGGGAAAACUCACCAGGCCCGGACACCGGAAGGAUUGACAGAUUGAGAGCUCUUUCUUGAUUCGGUGGGUGGUGGUGCAUGGCCGUUCUUAGUUCGUAGAGCGAUUUGUCUGGUUAAUUCCGAUAACGAACGAGACUCUAGCCUGCUAAAUAGGCGUAUAAUCGACAUCUUAAAGGCCCGCCGGUCAUUUUGUUGUGCGCAUUAUACAUGUGUACUUCGGUAUAUAUGUGUGUGCGUACUCAUAUGGCCUGUGCGUGGUUUUUACUGUCGGCGUACAAUUAUAUCUUCUUAGAGGGACAGGCGGCGUCUAGCCGCACGAGAUUGAGCAAUAACAGGUCUGUGAUGCCCUUAGAUGUUCUGGGCCGCACGCGCGCUACACUGAAGGAAUCAGCGUGUCUUCCCUGGCCGAGAGGCCCGGGUAACCCGCUGAACCUCCUUCGUGCUAGGGAUUGGGGCUUGCAAUUGUUCCCCAUGAACGAGGAAUUCCCAGUAAGCGCGAGUCAUAAGCUCGCGUUGAUUACGUCCCUGCCCUUUGUACACACCGCCCGUCGCUACUACCGAUUGAAUGAUUUAGUGAGGUCUUCGGACUGGUACGCGGCGGCGUUUCGUGCGUUACCGAUGUUGCCGGGAAGAUGACCAAACUUGAUCAUUU
rnacentral:rRNA from 1 species